CGGAUUUGAAGUGUUUCCGAAGUACUUGACUUUCAUUUUGCAGAUUCUGUACACUACAUAAGUCAUGUCAAGCUCCUUCUUACGCAGCAAAUAAUAAAAUCCAAAAUGCGCCCAAACAUUUGUCUUCAGCAAAGACGAUACUGGCUAAUUAGCUCUUUGUCCGCCAUGCUAAGCUACAGCCACUGAACUCUGCAGCGCAUGAGUGUUUGAAGCAUGCCAGACCACCCCCCCCUCACGGGGACGCUGUAGUACGGAAGCCGUUGCCUGACAAACAGUACACGCAGCAAGUAAGCAAGAUUAUGUUUAAAAAAAAAUGCUUUUAAAAAAUCGAUUGUUGGACAUUUUGGAUCGAUUCAGAAUCGUAAUAAAUAAGAAUCGCGAUUCGGACGGAUUUUUUCCGACACCCCUGAUGGUUUUCCAUGUAAUAAACACCGUAUAUACCAGAUUUUGUAAGACGUUUAGUGCUGACACUCACUGAUUCAAGAAAGUGGGUACCAUAUUUCCUUGAUUAAAAGACCAGCUGUUUAUUUUUUUCAAAACAUUCUCAGACAUGGGAUCUAAAGGAGGCAGGGCGUAAUUCAAGGCUGGUGAUUAUUAACAAAAUGCUGCUUGUUGCCUGCACUUUAAUAUGGUGUUAAGUUUCACACACACAUCCCUGGGUGUGAUGAACCAAACCGCUUUAGAUCAUAGACUUCUGCCUGGCUGCAAAGCAGCGCACCUGCUAAAUCAAACCGCAAAGGGCUGUGAUUUGUCACUUUCCCGGUUUCACUCCUUCUCCCGUCAUAUUGUAAAAGUUUUUUUAAUGCGCCCGCCGAUUACACAAAUAUGACCAACGUUACAACAGAGUCGGAAAAUUUGCUCAAAUGACCCACAUUUCAUGGAGGGAAAUUGUAUGUACCGUACCGUUGGUUUGAAGGUUGAUACUUGUUUUAUACAUAUAAUGGAUUUUGUCCGUUUUAUACAUAUAACGGAUUUCAAUUAUAAAUGACAGAAUUCGCUGGUCCACCUGAAUCCAUUAUAUGCGAGUUUGACUGUAUUCAACUGUCACACACACCUGAGUGAAACCACAGUAUCCACUUCACAUGCAUUACAAAGUCAAGGACAAAAGCAGUUAUGCAGGACAGGUUCAAUUUGUAAACUGGCUUUGACCAAAAAAAAAACAAAACAAAAAAAAAUUAGGAGCAAUCUCAGCAUUUUGAAAGGGAGGCUAACAGGAAAGAUCUUUCGCAUCCAAGGCUUCGAGAUCCCAGUAAUUCAAGAUCAAGGGACCAAUGCCUUGGAAAGCAUUAUGACAGCUCCCUAAAGGGCAGCCACAAUCUCCACACCACCAAAGCUCAGCUGAACACCUGGCUUAAGGCCAUCGAAUACAGUCAGCUUCUCGGGAGGUUCAAUGUAUGGUGCUUUCAAUACAUCAUCAUACCAUCAUACAUCAGUGGUGGAGGAGUUCAAAGCCACUAAGGCAUGGGCAGUCAGCACACUCCUUUUGUCGGAAGACGGGAGAGUCCAGCGCGCAAGUAAGAACAUCAAAUGCGGCAGGAAGUGGAAGCCCCUACAAGCUGUGACAGAUGCAGAAGGCCACUGGAAACACCAGAAAAUUGUGGGCGUGGUAUGUCAAGGACGGCUGGGCCUUGGUCACUACAGCAAGAGCAGGUGGUGCAGAGCCGACGCUAGAGCCAAAAGAAGCCUUGUGGUGAGAAGAGUCUGUGAGGCAGCAGAGGAGGACCGGUGGGUGAAAGCGAUCCGACUUGCCUCCCAGGGUCGAUGGACGUAGUGGGAUCAGGCACAGGAGCGGCCAUUGUCUUGGAAGGAGGUGUGGCAAACCGACCAAGGGAAGUUGAGCAUUCUCCUGCCCAAAGGCGCUGGCAGAAGGGCUCUACAGAUGGAGGCACGAUAAGGUUCUUGCGGAAAUCGCCAAAUGGGUGGAGCAGCAGCGGGUCAAAGCCAACAACAAGCAGGCUCAAGCGUCUGAAGCCAUAAAAUUCAUGAGGGAAGGAGAAAUUGCUCAUAAGACCAGCAUGGCAGGUAAAAACCUACCCUCCACUUUGCAACAUGCCUCCGAUUAGGAGCUGAGCGUGGAUUUGAAGAGGAAGCUUGUCUUCCCACUGGAUGUGGCAGCGACUUCACUUCGACCAGACAUGGUCUUGCUGUCCAGAAACCAUUAUAGCAGCAGAGCUCACAGUGCCCUGGGAAGAAAGGCUGGACAUGUCUCACCAAUUGAAGCUAGCCAAGUACCAGGACUUGAUCGACAAAGUCGUUCUAAAAGGAUGACAUGCAACCAUCUUUCCUAUUGAAGUCGGCUGCCACGGGUUUCCUGCAAAGUCAAUGCGCUUCCUCCUCCAGAGGAUAGGCCUGGAUCCUAAACAGGUGAAGAAAGCCACCAGGGAUAUAGCCGCAGCAGCCGAGUCCAGCUCAAAAUGGCUGUGGCUAAAGAGAGCCCACAGCUGGAACUCUUCCGCAGAGAAGCCUAGUCAGUCUUUCCUUCCCCACUCAGGUGAGAUGUACAGGUUAAGGGGUGAAACACCUGUGAACCUGAGAUGCCUGCUGACGAUGCAGAAGGGUUUCCACAAAUGUGGCUCCAAGGAAUACCAUCUCAGAUGACAACCUGCAUUACCAUUUUCAGAGUAGUUCUUGCAGUCGCAGCUUGUGGCAAAGCAUCUUUGAUCUUCACCCAGUCCGUUCAGCUGCUCCCUUGUUUUGUACAUGGGGUCGCCUCAGCAAAUCUAAGGUGGAUCUGCAUGCUGAUUAGGCACAAGGUUUACACCAGAUGCUCUUCCUGACGCAACUGCACAUUACAUGAAGAAAUUUGGCAGGGGUGGGGUUUGAACCAGGAACCUUCUGCACUGAAACCAAGUGCACUAGCCACUUGGCCACCACCCCUGCACUCACACUAAGGGAGCUAUUUUCUCAGUCCUUUAAGAUCGACUUGAAUUUGCCCCCCCCCCCAGUGAUCAGCUUUGCCUAGUUCAGAUCCCUCUGUACGUUAUCACCUGAUGAAACAUAUUUAAAAGAUGUAUUUUUUUGUUUUUGUUUUUUUUUCUUUUUUCAGAGACCCUUCAGGACCAGAAUCUGUAGAAUGAGUCCAUAAUGAUUUUGGUUUCUCCACAUGUAUGAAGAACUAGGUGAAGAAUAGUUUAUAUAUAUAUUGCGACAGACUGGUGUCUUGUCCUAGGUGUACCCCGCCUCGCGCUCUAUGACUGCUGGGAUAGGCUCCAGCCCCCUGCGACCCUUGAAGAGUAUAGUGGGGUGUAUGUGAUUUCCACAGCUGCUAAAGGAACGGGAACGAGGGUAAAUAAAGCCAACCUGAAGUCCUGCUGAGAAAAUGGUUGUAGUUUAUGCUGACUGAUACCUACUGACAGUAAAGGACCAUAGCAGCCACGCUGUUGUGUGAGACUAAUGCAUAGAAUUAGCAGAAGUUACAGUACUAGAAACCACUGCAUCGAUGAGUUCACAAACACUUUUCUCCCAAACUUUCCUGAACACCAAUGGCUUCUGUUUGCUUUGGUACUCUGCUGUAGUGCAUGUUCAGAUUGGAAGCAUUUUUGGGGCAUGUAAUCAUGAUGAACAAGAUGACCAUUAUGAUUGUGUUCCCCAAAGUCAUAUUUUUGGGGUGAAGUAUAACAAAAAUAUCUAUAAGUUUACAUGGCAGCAACUGGCCUUCUUGUUUGUCUUAAGGACAUUUCUCCAUUCAACAAAUUAUCUUCUUCAGUUAAAAAGCAAUGAGUGAAGAUUAACAAGAAGUACUUUUACUGCACUGUUAAACAUCUAGAGGAGUGAUAACUGUCGAUAACAUGUAAAUUAUGGUGUGAAAAACAGAAAACAAAUGUCCUGGUCUUUGGGAUGGAUUCAUCAUCUCAACAAGGUUCCAAAUACGCCUGGAAAAGUAAUAUGUGUUUAUAAAUUUGUUUGUACCCUUAUUGGAUAGUAAUGUUUGGAAAAUGGUUGCCAGUUAUGUGGAGUCAAAUUCCACAUAUUUUGGCUCAAACGUGAAAUUGGCCGAUAUGGUCCUUUAACUAGCAAGUUAUCUGUUUUGGUUGUCACAACAAUGCAAGGCUAACCCCAUUUUUAUUGGUGUUAAGUGCACGUCAGCAUAAUUCAGUCACAAUAAAGACAAAAGUGUGCCUAUCUAAUUUAUAUUUGUUUAUAGAAUACAUGAUGGACACUGUAUAUUUAAGGUAUUCUGUAAAUAUAAUAUAAAUAUUAUAAAUAUGUGUAUCUUCGUUUGGUUAUCAGAAUGUUUUUAAGGUUCAGAAGUACUUCAAAUCAUUAACUCCAGUUUUGUUUUGUUUUUUAACUAAUGUGCUGUAACUGUAUCCAAGGACCACGUCCUGCCUGUAAAUACUUUUUCCAUGAAAUGGCUUCAAAGGCAACGUCUGUUUCCCCAUCAAUAUUAAAGAUCAAAUAUGGUUUAAAGUGC